GCUUGGCCCUAAACCUCAGUAGUUAGAUAACAAAACUAUUCGCCAGAAUACUACGAGCUACAGCUUAAAACUCAAAGGACUUGACGGUGCUUUACACCCCCUAGAGGAGCCUGUUCCGUAAUCGAUAAACCCCGAUCCACCCCACCCUCUCUUGCUCAGCCUAUAUACCGCCAUCUUCAGCAAACCCUAAUGAAGGUCACAAAGUGAGCGCAAACGCCGUCACCGCGAGUACGUUAGGUCAAGGUGUAGCCUAUGAGAUGGUAAAAAAUGGGCUACAUUUUCUACCUCAGAAAAUUCCACGAAAACCCUUAUGAAAUUUAAGGGCCCAAGGAGGAUUUAGCAGUAAAUUAAGAAUAGAGUGCUUAAUUGAACCAGGCCAUAAAGCGCGCACACACCGCCCGUCGUUCUU
rnacentral:rRNA from 1 species